GUGAGGAAUAUUGCGCAAUGGGCGAAAGCCAGACGCAGCAACGCCGCGUGGGCGAUGAAGGUCUUCGGAUCGUAAAGCCCUUUUACGGAGGAAGAGGAAGGACAGUACUCCGGGAAUAAGUCUCGGCUAACUACGUGCCAGCAGCCGCGGUAAAACGUAGGAGGCUAGCGUUAUCCGGAUUUAUUGGGCGUAAAGCGCGUGCAGGCGGUGCUCUAAGUUGGAUGUGAAAUCUCCCGGCCUAACUGGGAGGGGUCAUUCAAUACUGGGGCACUUGAGGACAGGAGAAGGAAGUGGAAUUCCCGGUGUAGCGGUGGAAUGCGCAGAUAUCGGGAGGAACACCAGUGGCGAAAGCGGCUUCCUGGUCUGUCCCUGACGCUAAUACGCGAAAGCUAGGGGAGCAAACGGGAUUAGAUACCCUAGUAGUCC
rnacentral:rRNA from 1 species